rnacentral:lncRNA from 1 species
AUGAAGUGCAAUCAAACUGGCACAAAAUGUUUUCCUUGGAAAAGACAUAUUGCUACAUGGUAUUAUGGCCACUUGAAAUCCACCCUGAUGUCCCAAGAGAAGAGGAAGUCCCUCAGAUGUCUUUACCUGAUUGCACCUGAGCUUGUCAGAGUCCUUCCUUCCUGUUGCUACCACAUCUGCUGUAAUAUCAGCUGCCUGGAAUGGCAUCCCUCUAGCAUGCAAAGCUGCAGAGCCUCAUGGCAAGACGUGGUCUUCCUGGAGGGAGCAAGGAGACCCCAUCCCAUGCUGUUGCAAAAUGGAGAGUUCCAGCUUUAUCACAGCUCAGGUGACUAUUUUUUGUAAAAUCAGUCUAGAAAAGUAUGUUUUGAAUUCAAUUUUCAAUGUCAUUUAACGUUACUGUUAAAUGGCAGUUAUGGUGUGGUACAAACUGAAGCAAGUCUAUUAGUAUCUGCUCUUGGUUUGGCAGCUGAUGUUUGGCAUCAAUUUUGCCAUUUCCUUACCUUCAGCUGCUCCUUUACUGCAGACUUUGGGUCAGGCUUGACUUUAGUUCAUCUCCAGCAUCUUCUCCACCUAGAGAUUCAUCCCCACUCUUUUCCUACCUCUUCUAAUUAGCUUGAGACAGUUCUCUAUUUCUCUUUUUAUUAUUAUUUUUUUUUCCAAGAGACAAAGAGUGAAAGCAAUCAGAAAAGUGUUAUUCCUGGAAGCACCAAAUUUAAACCUGGGAGGAUCUGUGUCCUGGAAAGAACUUGAGGUCCCACUCAAAUGCUGCUUCUCAUCCUCUCCCCAGAUGUGUGCUCACAUACACAGGCAUAUCCCACUGGGAAAUGACAAGGAGCAGCCAGGGGAAAUGGACUUCAGAGAUACAAAAUGCUCCAUUCUGCCUCCCAAGGAAUGGAUAAGGUGGAAGAGGAAGUGCCAAAUCCCAAACAAACCCCGCAUGUACACCUGUGAUUGUGUACACACAGCUCUUUGAACCCGCAGGAGACAAAAAGCAGAUGAGAAGCUCAACUCGAUGAGGCAGCCUGGGUAUUUACAUUAUUGCAUGCUAAUGACGGCACAUGAGCCAGAGUAUAAACCUGGCCUCUGUGAAAAUGGGGGAGACCAGUAGGAGUUGUUUCCCUGUUUUAUGGAUGUGAAUGCUUGAAACUGAAGGCAGUGCCUGGAUCUCUUUUGCGUAUAGCCCUUGGACUUUCCUUCAGUUUUAGUCUAAUUAUUGAUAAUUAUUGAAGAUGAUUAUCCAGGAAUCAUAAAAUAUAUGAUUGUUUAGCAACAUAUCUUAAAGAGUUACUUCCAGACUGAAAAAGAUGAGAGAAAGGAAAUUUUAUUCCUGCCAAAGCACAUAGCU